CUUGUUGUUCUCUAUGUGUGUGUGUUUGUGUUAUGAUUGAGAUGGUGAUUCUUCUUCUUUUUUGCUGCUGUAAAUGUUGAGUAAGAAAGAUAAAUUAAUUUAAGCUGAAGUUCUUAGUAUUAAGAGAAAGAUAAUAAUUGAUAGAUUUGAGUUUUUAGGAGAAGAUUUGUUGAUGUUUAUAUGUGACUUGGGCAGAGAACUUUGAAAGUAAGAGGCUUGUUAUAUUGAUUUUUCUCUCUCGCACAUAAAGUUUUUGAUAGAAUGUUUGAGUGAAAAUUUUAUUUAAAUGAGUGCUUAAACUUGACUAAGUUAAUCCUAGUUAAAUUUCAAUAUUUAGGUCACUUGGUUUUUCAGUAAUGUAUGGAUAGGUAAAUAUGUGUUUUGUGUAUAUGUUUGUGACUAGGAUUGUGAAUUUUUGCUUGUUAUCUGUUCUGCUCCUAUGUGUGCCUGAGAUAGGAGGGGAUUUGAAUCAAAUGAGGAUAGUUUGGGUUGGAUUUUUUUUUUAAAUUCAAAUUGAUUCUUAUUGUAGAAUUUGAUUGGCAAAACAUGAUAAAUUCAAAAGUUAUAUUUGAUAUUGUUGGGAUGAGAUUUCAAGAGGAGAGUAUAGAAUUAGAAUCUGUCAAGAAUUGGGAGUUGAAGAACUUUUGUAUAUGUUAAUGAUUGAAGUCUAUUUAAAUUGUCUUUUGAGAAAUUACAAAAAUUAGUUUAUAAUUUAUAAUUGGGAUUUUGGGUUGCAUAUCAAUGUUCAAUGAAAUGAGUGAGAGUUUAACUUAAAUAUAACAAAGAAAUUUGAUCGUGAAGUGAUUGUGUGACUUUUUGAAUUUUUGGGCAUUGUAUAGUUGACAAUUUGUAAAUCAUGGUGUUUUAUGACUUGAUUUCAAGAAGUACUCAAGGUGUUUGAUAAAAUGAGUAUUAGAAGCAUUUUUAGAUUAAUGGAGUAAUUAAAUUUGGAGCAUGUCUACAUAUAUAUACUUUAAUUAAAAUUUAACUUCAUUAUUUGAUCAUUGUGAGGUAUUCUGGAAUUCUUCUCUUUUCCUUUAUGGUUGGUGUUGAAAUUUUGACUAUUCCUUGUUGUAUCAAUUGCUAUGCAUGUGUAGGGAAAAGGUUGAUGUUCUAACAAGCUCAAAUAAAAGAUUAGGAAGAAUCUCGGUUUAUUUGAAUUAAUUUUUUAUAAGAACAUGAUUUUGGGAAGCUUGGAAAAUUUAAGUAUUGAAGGUAGAAAAUUUUGGAAAAAGGUAGUUGGUUGAUAAUUUAAAGACCAAGUUUGUUUGUUUGUUUAUUCUUUUGUUAGUUUUUUGGGUGCAUAUAUAAUGUUUAUGAAAGGAAAAUUAUGAAAAUUGGAUAUGCAUGAUUGGAAAUGUUGAAUAAGUCAUAGUUGGAGUAUUUAUUUUCUAUAGAAAGAUUUGAAAACUUGGAAUAUAGUUUAUAUGCAUGUAUGUCAUAGAUUUAUUGAUUAAACUCAUCAAGGUAUUUUAUUGGUGAAAGAUUGAUGAUGAAAUUUUCUUUUCUAUUUCUCUAAAUUAGUUUAGAUUGAAAAUUUGAUUUAUAAAAUGUAUAAGAAAUAACAAUAAUAUCCCUUGGGGCAUUAGGGAAGUAAAGUAUGGGAAAUAUUACAAAAAUGGCUAACCAAGAGUAAGGUAUACGUUUGGAAAUGUCUCAGGUAAGUGGAUAACGUCUCAAUCAAUUUAUUUACAAAUUUUUCUUUUUAUCAAAUGCUAUUUUCAAUAAUCUGCAGUUAUUAAUAUUUUCAUAUUUUUCUAGUCCUGAUCUCUUUUGUUAAUUAAUUUACUCUAGGUCUUGAAGUCACGACAUAUGCUUUUAAAGUUGACGAAAAUGCUUUUACAAGUUCUAAGUUAUUCUCUAUUUGAAAAAGAUGUUCACAGAAAUUGGUAAACCGGUUUAUCAAAUAUUAGUUAUGAACUUUCAUGAUUAGAAGGAUUGAUGCUUUGACAAUUUAUACAUGUUUGAUAUUAAGAAGAGAAAAUUUUAUUUUGAAAGUGACUGUUUUUUUGCAUGUUCAAAAAUUGAUUUAAAAGGGACUUUCUACAUAACGCUGGUUGCUAACAGCAAUUCUAUUAGCCCUUGGCGUGCCAUGAUACACAUAGCUAGCAGGGUGUUUAUAGGAGGUGCUAGUCCGUGCGUAGGCCAACGCACAAGUAACGAAGGGAUAGAUAUUCAUGAGCAUUAUACUCACUCUUGUUUCAUGGCUUCUAGCCACGCUUGAUUAUUUCGUGGUCUAAGCUAUGCUUGUUGGUGAUUUACCAUCAUGGAUUGAGUGUCCACACUUAUUGAUUAUUUAGCCUCGUGGACUUUGUGUCCGCACUUCUUAAUUGUUUUGGUUAAGUCUCGCUAAACAUUUGAGUUUUGAAACUUAUCAUUUGUGCAAAAUGAUAUUAGUUAAAUGGACUGUAUUUCUUCACAUAGAUUUUUGUAAGGAGUUUCACAUAUAGUAAUUGUCUAAAAUAUAAAUUGAAGUAUGAAAAAAUGAAAUUCUAAUGCUAUGUCAUUAUUAUUUGGAUUCAUACAUAUAUGAUUCAUGUAUUUACAUAGAAUCAUGCUUGAGGUAUGAGCUUCUAAUUUGCUUUCAAAUAGAUAUUCUUGUAAAAUUCUUGUAUUUUUUUUAGGUACAUUUCUCUAUUUUCUUUAAUUUUUAAUUGGGACGUUAUUUAAUGGAAAGAUAUUUUGGCCUCAGAUAAUAUCAAUACUUAGGAUCUCCUGUUGAUCAUUGAGAGAAUUUAUCGUUGAACUGAAGUAGACGAAUUUCUUUGGAUAAAUCUCAACUCGAUUUAAAUGUGAGUUUAUGUAUUAUUUUUAUAAUCUGCUUCAUGUGCUCCACAAUAACUAUAAAUAGAAUCUUGAAUUGUAAUUUAUAUUAUUUGCCUGUUAUGAAGGAAUAGAGCUCAGUAUUAUUGAUUUGGUUCAGUAAAUGAUUGUUGUAAAAAUUUUGAAAGGAUUUAUUUGUAUGGGAGAUUCUGCCAAAAUUUCUACAAAAAGGUUGGGAUUGUUUUGUUUACAUGAAAGUGUUGCAAUGAUUUCUAGUCCUAUUUCAAACACACUAAGAUAUUAAAUUAGAGUUUUUCUUGAUAAAGGCUUAAAGGAUGUAUGUUUCUACAUAUAUCCUAUGCCAGUCACAUCUAAUUUUUGGGAUGUAACAAAUAGUUCCUUAGGAAAUUUGGCCUUGUCAUACUUUCCAUGCAGAUUACUUUGUAGGGAACCAUUUUCUCCUGCUUUAUUGUAGGUAAUAAAUUAAUAACCUAUAUUUGGUUUUGAUUUCUGGAUGGAGAGCUAGAUGGUAAUGAUCGAGUCAUGUUUAGGGAAGAACAUCGAACAACCAAUGGUAUGUCGUCUUUUGAUUGAAGUAUGUUAUGCUAAAUUUAUUUGAUCAUUUCUCCAGACACCUCAUCCCAAUGUUGGUUAUGCUUCGAGAAUGAAUAUUACUUGAUUAAUUUGUUGGCAAUAAGAAGAAUAUGUUAAAAGCUUCACAAAGUCACUAAUUUCUUAUGGAACAAAAGAAUUUAAAAUUUAGACUAGUAGUCUGUUCUUUCAUCAAGCCUAAAAAAGUCUAUUAUUCUUUUUGGAAUUUGUAUAAACAGGUCUGGUAGAUAAUUAUGAAUAUGAGUUAAUGAAUUUGAACUUUCAUAUUAUCAUGGUAAUUAACAUAUAAAAUAGUUAAAAUUAACUUGCAUUAUAUAUAUUCAAUCAAGAAAAAUUAUUCAAUUUACUUUUAUGUGCAAUUUUUUUUUAGCCUAUAGUUGAUUGUUUAACUCUUUUAGUUCUGGAUAAGUGCAGAAACUAUUUAUUUGAGAAUGUGCCAAUUUUAUGGCCUUUGCUUGGGUUUUUAAGAUUAAUGGGGGAAAAAAAGCUCAAACAUUACAUUGGGGUGGUUUCACUUCACUUUUCCAAGUAAAAAUGGCCAAGUAAAUAUGUAGGGUAAGUAUGCUAGGUCCAUAAUGCAUUGGAAUGAUGCUAUUGUUUUAUUUUUCUUUAACUGUUCAUCAUUUUAAUUCUUGUUCUGCUUUUUUUUUUAAUUUAACUUUCUUGAGUGUCAUUUUUUAGGUGAUUUGCUAGAUCAAGCGUCAUCAGUAUCCGUUCAAGUUUUGACGCUAAGCAAUCAAUUUAACACUCUUCAAUUUUCUGAGCCAUCUCAUACUACGCAAGUUGACACUGGCUGAAUCAGAUGGUGUAAAACAUGGAGAAGCAACUCAGGAAGAGCAAAAAUUUAUAGAUCUAAUGGAUAAGUUUCUCCCAUCACCACCAAAAGUUAAAUGCCUUGAAGACCUUCAAAGGCAAAUAUGAGGCGUGAAAGUGACAGGAAAGAGCAAGAAAAGAAGAAAGCACAUGAACUUGAGUUUGCCUCUGGGGGAACACAACCAGGAUUUUUUACUAGUGUUCCGAGGAUCAUUGUACCUAUUGCAAGUUAUAUAAAACAACCUAGUUUACCUAUGAUAGACAAAGUUCAUUCUUACUACUCAUAUUCCAUUUUAUCUUGAUUUUCUCCCUUCUCUCAUUUGGUUUUACUUUAUCUUCAGGUGGUUUGGAUUUGAUUCCUCCUACAGUUGGGGCCCCCAAUUAGGAUGGUAGAAAAAAAAAAUCAAAGUCGGACAAGGCAGCAAAAAUGAAGAGAGGUAGAGGAGAAAAGAUCAUCUGAAAGGAAGGAAAGAAGGUCAUGAACCCCACUCAUUUUGGUCUGUUAAACUAAUAGUUCUAGUCAUUUUUAAGUGCUUCAGAUUGUUCUUUACAAAUAUGUUCUUGUUCUAUUCAAUAACUUUUGUGGAGUCAUUAUUUUGUAUAUUAUAAAAUGUCUGAAAGAAAGUGUUCAAACUAUGCUUAUCACUGUAGCA